GGGUUGUGAGGUUAAGCGACUAAGCGUACACGGUGGAUGCCCUGGCAGUCAGAGGCGAUGAAGGACGUGCUAAUCUGCGAUAAGCGUCGGUAAGGUGAUAUGAACCGUUAUAACCGGCGAUUUCCGAAUGGGGAAACCCAGUGUGAUUCGUCACACUAUCAUUAACUGAAUCCAUAGGUUAAUGAGGCGAACCGGGGGAACUGAAACAUCUAAGUACCCCGAGGAAAAGAAAUCAACCGAGAUUCCCCCAGUAGCGGCGAGCGAACGGGGAGCAGCCCAGAGCCUGAAUCAGUGUGUGUGUUAGUGGAAGCGUCUGGAAAGGCGUGCGAUACAGGGUGACAGCCCCGUACACAAAAAUGCACAUGCUGUGAGCUCGAUGAGUAGGGCGGGACACGUGGUAUCCUGUCUGAAUAUGGGGGGACCAUCCUCCAAGGCUAAAUACUCCUGACUGACCGAUAGUGAACCAGUACCGUGAGGGAAAGGCGAAAAGAACCCCGGCGAGGGGAGUGAAAAAGAACCUGAAACCGUGUACGUACAAGCAGUGGGAGCACGCUUAGGCGUGUGACUGCGUACCUUUUGUAUAAUGGGUCAGCGACUUAUAUUCUGUAGCAAGGUUAACCGAAUAGGGGAGCCGAAGGGAAACCGAGUCUUAACUGGGCGUUAAGUUGCAGGGUAUAGACCCGAAACCCGGUGAUCUAGCCAUGGGCAGGUUGAAGGUUGGGUAACACUAACUGGAGGACCGAACCGACUAAUGUUGAAAAAUUAGCGGAUGACUUGUGGCUGGGGGUGAAAGGCCAAUCAAACCGGGAGAUAGCUGGUUCUCCCCGAAAGCUAUUUAGGUAGCGCCUCGUGAAUUCAUCUCCGGGGGUAGAGCACUGUUUCGGCAAGGGGGUCAUCCCGACUUACCAACCCGAUGCAAACUGCGAAUACCGGAGAAUGUUAUCACGGGAGACACACGGCGGGUGCUAACGUCCGUCGUGAAGAGGGAAACAACCCAGACCGCCAGCUAAGGUCCCAAAGUCAUGGUUAAGUGGGAAACGAUGUGGGAAGGCCCAGACAGCCAGGAUGUUGGCUUAGAAGCAGCCAUCAUUUAAAGAAAGCGUAAUAGCUCACUGGUCGAGUCGGCCUGCGCGGAAGAUGUAACGGGGCUAAACCAUGCACCGAAGCUGCGGCAGCGACGCUUAUGCGUUGUUGGGUAGGGGAGCGUUCUGUAAGCCUGCGAAGGUGUGCUGUGAGGCAUGCUGGAGGUAUCAGAAGUGCGAAUGCUGACAUAAGUAACGAUAAAGCGGGUGAAAAGCCCGCUCGCCGGAAGACCAAGGGUUCCUGUCCAACGUUAAUCGGGGCAGGGUGAGUCGACCCCUAAGGCGAGGCCGAAAGGCGUAGUCGAUGGGAAACAGGUUAAUAUUCCUGUACUUGGUGUUACUGCGAAGGGGGGACGGAGAAGGCUAUGUUGGCCGGGCGACGGUUGUCCCGGUUUAAGCGUGUAGGCUGGUUUUCCAGGCAAAUCCGGAAAAUCAAGGCUGAGGCGUGAUGACGAGGCACUACGGUGCUGAAGCAACAAAUGCCCUGCUUCCAGGAAAAGCCUCUAAGCAUCAGGUAACAUCAAAUCGUACCCCAAACCGACACAGGUGGUCAGGUAGAGAAUACCAAGGCGCUUGAGAGAACUCGGGUGAAGGAACUAGGCAAAAUGGUGCCGUAACUUCGGGAGAAGGCACGCUGAUAUGUAGGUGAAGUCCCUCGCGGAUGGAGCUGAAAUCAGUCGAAGAUACCAGCUGGCUGCAACUGUUUAUUAAAAACACAGCACUGUGCAAACACGAAAGUGGACGUAUACGGUGUGACGCCUGCCCGGUGCCGGAAGGUUAAUUGAUGGGGUUAGCGCAAGCGAAGCUCUUGAUCGAAGCCCCGGUAAACGGCGGCCGUAACUAUAACGGUCCUAAGGUAGCGAAAUUCCUUGUCGGGUAAGUUCCGACCUGCACGAAUGGCGUAAUGAUGGCCAGGCUGUCUCCACCCGAGACUCAGUGAAAUUGAACUCGCUGUGAAGAUGCAGUGUACCCGCGGCAAGACGGAAAGACCCCGUGAACCUUUACUAUAGCUUGACACUGAACAUUGAGCCUUGAUGUGUAGGAUAGGUGGGAGGCUUUGAAGUGUGGACGCCAGUCUGCAUGGAGCCGACCUUGAAAUACCACCCUUUAAUGUUUGAUGUUCUAACGUUGACCCGUAAUCCGGGUUGCGGACAGUGUCUGGUGGGUAGUUUGACUGGGGCGGUCUCCUCCUAAAGAGUAACGGAGGAGCACGAAGGUUGGCUAAUCCUGGUCGGACAUCAGGAGGUUAGUGCAAUGGCAUAAGCCAGCUUGACUGCGAGCGUGACGGCGCGAGCAGGUGCGAAAGCAGGUCAUAGUGAUCCGGUGGUUCUGAAUGGAAGGGCCAUCGCUCAACGGAUAAAAGGUACUCCGGGGAUAACAGGCUGAUACCGCCCAAGAGUUCAUAUCGACGGCGGUGUUUGGCACCUCGAUGUCGGCUCAUCACAUCCUGGGGCUGAAGUAGGUCCCAAGGGUAUGGCUGUUCGCCAUUUAAAGUGGUACGCGAGCUGGGUUUAGAACGUCGUGAGACAGUUCGGUCCCUAUCUGCCGUGGGCGCUGGAGAAUUGAGGGGGGCUGCUCCUAGUACGAGAGGACCGGAGUGGACGCAUCACUGGUGUUCGGGUUGUCAUGCCAAUGGCACUGCCCGGUAGCUAAAUGCGGAAGAGAUAAGUGCUGAAAGCAUCUAAGCACGAAACUUGCCCCGAGAUGAGUUCUCCCUGACUCCUUGAGAGUCCUGAAGGAACGUUGAAGACGACGACGUUGAUAGGCCGGGUGUGUAAGCGCAGCGAUGCGUUGAGCUAACCGGUACUAAUGAACCGUGAGGCUUAACCUUACAACGCCGAAGCUGUU
rnacentral:rRNA from 1 species